UCGAGCGCACUGGCCCAACUGAUAUGACGUGCUUGCACUGAAUUGACGUUGGAUUACCAGUGAGCGGCGGACGGGUGAGUAACACGUGGGCAACCUGCCCUGAAGCGGGGGAUAACAUCUGGAAACAGGUGCUAAUACCGCAUAACAACGAAAACCACAUGGUUUUCGUUUCAAAGAUGGUUUCGGCUAUCACUUCAGGAUGGGCCCGCGGUGCAUUAGCUAGUUGGUAAGGUAACGGCUUACCAAGGCGAUGAUGCAUAGCCGAGUUGAGAGACUGAUCGGCCACAAUGGAACUGAGACACGGUCCAUACUCCUACGGGAGGCAGCAGUAGGGAAUCUUCCACAAUGGGCGCAAGCCUGAUGGAGCAACACCGCGUGAGUGAAGAAGGGUUUCGGCUCGUAAAGCUCUGUUGUUGGAGAAGAACGUGCGUGAGAGUAACUGUUCACGCAGUGACGGUAUCCAACCAGAAAGUCACGGCUAACUACGUGCCAGCAGCCGCGGUAAUACGUAGGUGGCAAGCGUUAUCCGGAUUUAUUGGGCGUAAAGCGAGCGCAGGCGGUUGCUUAGGUCUGAUGUGAAAGCCUUCGGCUUAACCGAAGAAGUGCAUCGGAAACCGGGCGACUUGAGUGCAGAAGAGGACAGUGGAACUCCAUGUGUAGCGGUGGAAUGCGUAGAUAUAUGGAAGAACACCAGCGGCGAAGGCGGCUGUCUGGUCUGCAACUGACGCUGAGGCUCGAAAGCAUGGGUAGCGAACACGAUU
rnacentral:rRNA from 1 species